GAUGAACGCUGGCGGCGUGCCUAACACAUGCAAGUCGAACGGAGAUCUUAAGGAAUGCGACUUCGGUCAAAUGACUUUUGAACUUAGUGGCGGACGGGUGAGUAACGCGUGAGCAACCUGCCUUUCAGAGGGGGAUAACAUUUGGAAACAGAUGCUAAUACCGCAUAAGAUUACGGUACCGCAUGAUACAGUGAUCAAAGGAGCAAUCCGCUGAAAGAUGGGCUCGCGUCCGAUUAGAUAGUUGGUGAGGUAACGGCUCACCAAGUCGACGAUCGGUAGCCGGACUGAGGUUGAACGGCCACAUUGGGACUGAGACACGGCCCAGACUCCUACGGGAGGCAGCAGUGGGGAAUAUUGCACAAUGGGCGAAAGCCUGAUGCAGCAACGCCGCGUGAGGGAAGACGGUUUUCGGAUUGUAAACCUCUGUUUUCGGUGACGAAUAAAUGACGGUAACCGAGUAGGAAGCCACGGCUAACUACGUGCCAGCAGCCGCGGUAAUACGUAGGUGGCAAGCGUUAUCCGGAAUUACUGGGUGUAAAGGGAGCGCAGGCGGGAUAGCAAGUCAGCUGUGAAAACUAUGGGCUCAACCCAUAAACUGCAGUUGAAACUGUUAUUCUUGAGUGGAGUAGAGGCAAGCGGAAUUCCGAGUGUAGCGGUGAAAUGCGUAGAUAUUCGGAGGAACACCAGUGGCGAAGGCGGCUUGCUGGGCUCUAACUGACGCUGAGGCUCGAAAGUGUGGGGAGCAAACAGGAUUAGAUACCCUGGUAGUCCACACUGUAAACGAUGAUUGCUAGGUGUGGGGGGUCUGACCCCCUCCGUGCCGGAGUUAACGCAAUAAGCAAUCCACCUGGGGAGUACGGCCGCAAGGUUGAACUCAAAGGAAUUGACGGG
rnacentral:rRNA from 1 species